rnacentral:rRNA from 1 species
GACGAACCGUGCGAACGUUGUUCGGAAUCACUGGGCUUAAAGGGCGCGUAGGCGGGCUCGCCAGUCAGGGGUGAAAUCCCGCGGCUCAACCGUGGAAGUGCCUCUGAUACUGCGAGUCUCGAGGGAGGUAGGGGCGUGCGGAACUUCCGGUGGAGCGGUGAAAUGCGUAGAUAUCGGAAGGAACACCGGUGGCGAAGGCGGGUCUCUGGACAGUUCCUGACACUGAGGCACGAAGGCCAGGGGAGCAAACGGG